ACUGGUCUUGACCCAUUUCCAAAAGUACACUUUCUCCCGACCCGGCUCCAACAGUCUACUGGUCCUCCAACCCAGAUCCAACAGUACAACUUCCCCGACCCGGCUCCAACAUUACAACUUCCCCGACCCGCCUCCAACAGUACAACUUCCCCGACCCGGCUCCAACAGUCUACUGUCCUCCAACCCGGCUCCAACAGUACACCUUCCCCGACCCGGCUCCAACAGUCUACUGUCCUCCAACCCGGCUCCAACAGUACAACUUCCCCGACCCGGCUCCAACAGUCUACUGUCCUCCAACCCGGCUCCAACAGUACACCUUCCCCGACCCGGCUCCAACAGUCUACUGGUCCUCCAACCCAGAUCCAACAGUACAACUUCCCCGACCCGGCUCCAACAUUACAACUUCCCCGACCCAGAUCCAACAGUCCACUGGUCCUCCAACCCGGCUCCAACAGUACACCUUCCCCCGACCCGGCUCCAACAGUACACCUUCCCCCGACCCGGCUCCAACAUUACAACUUCCCCGACCCGGUUCCAACAGUACAACUUCCCCGACCCGGCUCCAACAGUCUACUGUCCUCCAACCCAGAUCCAACAGUACACCUUCCCCGACCCGCCUCCAACAUUACAACUUCCCCGACCCGCCUCCAACGGUCCACUGGUCCUCCAACCCGGCUCCAACAGUACAACUUCCCCGACCCGGCUCCGACAGUCUACUGUCCUCCAACCCGGCUCCAACAGUACACCUUCCCCGACCCGCCUCCAACAUUACAACUUCCCCGACCCAGAUCCAACAGUCCACUGGUCCUCCAACCCGGCUCCAACAGUACAACUUCCCCCGACCCGCCUCCAACAUUACAACUUCCCCGACCCAGAUCCAACAGUCCACUGGUCCUCCAACCCGGCUCCAACAGUACACCUUCCCCCGACCCGGCUCCAACAUUACAACUUCCCCGACCCGGCUCCAACAGUCCACUGGUCCUCCAACCCGGCUCCAACAGUACAACUUCCCCCGACCCGGCUCCAACAUUACAACUUCCCCGACCCGGUUCCAACAUUACAACUUCCCCGACCCGGCUCCAACAGUCCACUGGUCCUCCAACCCGGCUCCAACAGUACAACUUCCCCGACCCGGCUCCGACAGUCUACUGUCCUCCAACCCAGAUCCAACAGUACACUAGCCCUCGACCCGGCUCCAACAUUACAACUUCCCGACCCGCUCACUUUGUGUUUCUUGACCACUUGUACAGCUCCAGUUUAAUUAUGAAAAUAUGCAGAAAUGAAAACAAUUUUCUGCCGUUCUAUAACAGUUCUAUAAUAAUUCCAUAA
rnacentral:lncRNA from 1 species